AAGUUGCCCUUAGUAAAGUGUAACAUAAAUUUAAUGUAUCUCGUUUACAUCGAGAUUAUAUCUAUUGUUGAUCUCUUUAA
rnacentral:tRNA from 1 species